UACGGAGGGUGCAAACGUUGCUCGGAAUCAUUGGGCGUAAAGCGCACGUAGGCGGCCUUGUAAGUCGGAUGUGAAAUCCCUGGGCUUAACCGAGGAAGUGCAUUCGAAACUGCAAGGCUUGAAUACAGGAGAGGAUCGCGGAAUUCCCGGUGUAGAGGUGAAAUUCGUAGAUAUCGGGAGGAACACCAGAGGCGAAGGCGGCGAUCUGGACUGAUAUUGACGCUGAGGUGCGAAAGCGUGGGGAGCAAACAGG
rnacentral:rRNA from 1 species